CCUACGGGGGGCAGCAGUGGGGAAUAUUGGGCAAUGGGCGCAAGCCUGACCCAGCAACGCCGCGUGAAGGAAGAAGGCUUUCGGGUUGUAAACUUCUUUUGUCAGGGACGAAGCAAGUGACGGUCCCUGACGAAUAAGCCACGGCUAACUACGUGCCAGCAGCCGCGGUAAUACGUAGGUGGCAAGCGUUAUCCGGAUUUACUGGGUGUAAAGGGCGUGUAGGCGGGACUGCAAGUCAGAUGUGAAAACCACGGGCUCAACCUGUGGCCUGCAUUGUGAACUGUAGUUCUUGAGUACUGGAGAGGCAGACGGAAUUACUAGUGUAGCGGUGAAAUGCGUAGAUAUUAGGAGGAACACCAGUGGCGAAGGUGGUCUGCUGGACAGCAACUGACGCUGAGGCGCGAAAGCGUGGGGAGCAAACAGGAUUAGAUACCCGGGUAGUC
rnacentral:rRNA from 1 species